CAUGUAAUUGCAAGCAUUCAAAAUCAAAUCGAGGAGAAUUAUGAAAUUCAGAAAAAUAUUAUCUUUACCUGAGUGUUAGCCUAAAAAUAUGGUAAAAUAGUGUCUUAGCUCCAGGACUGAAUAUUCCUGCCCCCAGCUAGUAGUUUGCUACUGGAAGAAUUAAGAAGGAUUCAGUGAUUUCUCUUACAACAAUUGAGCAGGAGUGCAGCUUCAGUAAUCCCUGCUGUCUCACCAAGAAGGGGUGGAAUAAGACAGGAGUACAGUCUUGCUGAAAGUCCAUGGUCAAAAAAAGCUCAAAAAAGGUGCAUAUGCUGUAACAAAAUAAUUAUAUUGGUGCUUUCUCAGCUAACUCAGGGAAGAAACUAAUAAAAUCAUAAUUCUGUAUUAAAAGCCAAACCAAACAAAACAGCAAUGCAACUACCACCUCUGAAAACAAUAGCAAUAGUAAUGGAUUUAUCUGGUCUGAUUUGUAGUACCAGAAUUGUGCUGUGUUCCCAGAUGAAACAGAAGAAUAUCUGCGUUAACAACCACACACACAAGACAGAAGAAAUGAAUGGAGGCUCCAGCCAAGCAAACAGCUCCACUCAGGAACAAGUCUGAGCAAGACCGAGGCCUAAGUGCUGAAGCUCUUUUGAUUCAUUUUUCUGCAACAGAAGUUAUAUUAUUGCAGGAUUCACCCAGGUAAUUAAAUGUGCUAUUUUGCAUUAAGUGCCCAGCAAUGUAGCAUUAGAUUCCAUGAAGGUUUACGUAUUAAAUUUGGUUAUAGUCUUUAAUGAGAAAAUCAUAUUGAGAAAGACUUGUAGGUUGUAUUUUCACAUGCUUGUGCAGAAAUGCCUUAGAUAUAGCACUUAAUCCCUCUCGUGCUACACUAGUUAUAUUUAACAAAAAUAAGAGGACAGGCAAGGCUGUUAAAUGGGUUUCUGCAGCCCAUCUGAGCAGAAUGUGGUUUCACACUUGUUUCCUGGUCGGAGCAAGGUCUCAAAGUUUGCACUCCAGUGUGAUUGGGGGAAGUAGUGCACAGUCCCUGGUGUGAUGAUGGAGCGGUUGGUCCUGUGGGCUUUGGGCAGAGGUGGCAGCAGAAAACCAGAACCAUUGGAACAAAAACAUCUGCGAUGCAUUAUGGCACUGGCUGUCUUUCAUACAUAUAUUGGGAAAAACAGAACCACUGCUUUGCUAAAACAGAACAUCUGCCUUUCAGCUUUACAUACAUAGAAAGCUUCACUGCUCUGCCCCCGUGGUGCAACACACAAAUAAUGGGAUCUACACAGAACACUGGGAGGGGAUUUGACCACUAAGAUCAUCCAGUGCAGCUGUCCACCUACCCCUAAUGUUGCCCAGUAAACCAUCUCCUUCUGUGCAGCAUCUCCACGUUUCUUGAACACCUCCAGGGACAGUGACACCACCACCUCCCUGGGCAGCCUGUGCCAGUGCCCAACCACUCUAUCUUGAGAAGAAGUUUUUCCUAAUACCCAAUUGAGAGGUGAGCUUUAACUGCAGAACCAUCUAGUUCCAAGAAGAGGAUUACAAGUGAUUAGGGCAGCAUAUGGGGAAAGAGGAGCCAGAAAUAUAAAUAUGGGAGGAGAUUUAGGGCUUCCCUAAG
rnacentral:lncRNA from 1 species